UACGGAGGAUGCGAGCGUUAUCCGGAUUUAUUGGGUUUAAAGGGUGCGUAGGCGGGAGAUCAAGUCAGCGGUAAAAAUGCGGGGCCCAACCCCGUCGAGCCGUUGAAACUGGUUUUCUUGAGUGAGUGAGAAGUAAGCGGAAUGCGUGGUGUAGCGGUGAAAUGCAUAGAUAUCACGCAGAACGCCGAUUGCGAAGGCAGCUUACCGGCGCUCAACUGACGCUGAGGCACGAAAGUGCGGGUAUCGAACAGG
rnacentral:rRNA from 1 species